UACGUAGGGGGCAAGCGUUGUUCGGAAUUACUGGGCGUAAAGGGCGCGUAGGCGGCUGCGUAAGUCGGGAGUGAAAGCCCGGGGCUCAACCCCGGAAUGUCUCUCGAAACUGCGCGGCUCGAGUGCGGAAGAGGCAACUGGAAUUCCCAGUGUAGCGGUGAAAUGCGUAGAUAUUGGGAAGAACACCUGAGGCGAAGGCGGGUUGCUGGGCCGACACUGACGCUGAAGCGCGAAAGCCAGGGGAGCAAACAGG
rnacentral:rRNA from 1 species